rnacentral:rRNA from 1 species
GAUGAACGCUGGCGGCGUGCUUAACACAUGCAAGUCGAACGAAGCACUUAUCUUGCUUGCAAGAAAAGUGACUGAGUGGCGGACGGGUGAGUAACGCGUGGGCAACCUGCCUUACACUGGGGGAUAACAGUUGGAAACGACUGCUAAUACCGCAUAUGCACACAGUAUCACAUGAUACAGUGUGGAAAACUCCGGUGGUGUAAGAUGGGCCCGCGUCUGAUUAGCUAGUUGGUGAGGUAAUGGCUCACCAAGGCGACGAUCAGUAGCCGGCUUGAGAGAGUGAAAGGCCACAUUGGGACUGAGACACGGCCCAAACUCCUACGGGAGGCAGCAGUGGGGAAUAUUGCACAAUGGGGGAAACCCUGAUGCUGCAACGCCGCGUGAGUGAAGAAGUAUUUCGGUAUGUAAAGCUCUAUCAGCAGGGAAGAUAAUGACGGUACCUGACUAAGAAGCCCCGGCUAACUACGUGCCAGCCGCCGCGGUAA